GGCCAGAGUGCAAUGGCGCGAUCUUGCCUCAUGGCAACCUCCACCUCCCGGGAGAAUGGUGUGAACCCGGGAGGCGGAACUUGCAGUGAGCCGAGUGAGCCACUGCACUCUAGCCUAGGUGACAGAGGGAGACUCAUCUCAAAACAAAACAAAACAAAACAGUUUAUUGUAACUGUUGGUUUUGUAACUGUUCUCAUUGUCGGAUUAUCUUGACCAAUGAGAAUGGGUAGAGAAGAAAGAGGUGGCUAAGGACAUGACCAUAGGGAACACCAGCAUUUAGAGAGGUCAGAGAAGGCUAAGAAAGGUCAUAUUAGGCUGGGUGUGGUGGCUCACACCUGUAAUCCCAACACUUUGGAGGCUGAGGUGGG
rnacentral:lncRNA from 1 species